GGGCCCGUCGUCUAGCUUGGUCUAGGAUCCGAGCCUAAUUAGCUCGAGACAGGAGUUCAAAUCUCCUCGGGCCCA
rnacentral:tRNA from 1 species